rnacentral:rRNA from 1 species
GUCGAGCGAACGGACGAGAAGCUUGCUUCUCUGAUGUUAGCGGCGGACGGGUGAGUAACACGUGGAUAACCUACCUAUAAGACUGGGAUAACUUCGGGAAACCGGAGCUAAUACCGGAUAAUAUUUUGAACCGCAUGGUUCAAAAGUGAAGGACGGUCUUGCUGUCACUUAUAGAUGGAUCCGCGCUGCAUUAGCUAGUUGGUAAGGUAACGGCUUACCAAGGCAACGAUGCAUAGCCGACCUGAGAGGGUGAUCGGCCACACUGGAACUGAGACACGGUCCAGACUCCUACGGGAGGCAGCAGUAGGGAAUCUUCCGCAAUGGGCGAAAGCCUGACGGAGCAACGCCGCGUGAGUGAUGAAGGUCUUCGGAUCGUAAAACUCUGUUAUUAGGGAAGAACAUAUGUGUAUGUAACUGUGCACAUCUUGACGGUACCUAAUCAGAAAGCCACGGCUAACUACGUGCCAGCAGCCGCGGUAAUACGUAGGUGGCAAGCGUUAUCCGGAAUUAUUGGGCGUAAAGCGCGCGUAGGCGGUUUUUUAAGUCUGAUGUGAAAGCCCACGGCUCAACCGUGGAGGGUCAUUGGAAACUGGAAAACUUGAGUGCAGAAGAGGAAAGUGGAAUUCCAUGUGUAGCGGUGAAAUGCGCAGAGAUAUGGAGGAACACCAGUGGCGAAGGCGACUUUCUGGUCUGUAACUGACGCUGAUGUGCGAAAGCGUGGGGAUCAA